UCUUGAGUCAUAAGCAAGAUAUUUCAGCAACCCAGAGUAUGAUGGAAAGUAUGAGGUUGACUAUGGGAGAAGACUUGCCCUCCCAGAAUGUCCUCUUCAUCCAUUGGGCACCUUGAUUGGUACAGGGACACUACUACGUGUCUACUCUCAGCAGGUUCAGGGUUCAGCUGCAGGGCAUUAUGUGUGCAUUUCUCAUUGUAUCUUGCUUUAUGUGCAGGCAGUGCAGAAGCAGCUCCUCUCCGGCUGGUGAACGGCCCUUGUCGUUGUGCUGGGAGAGUUGAGGUGCUUCACGGCCAGCAGUGGGGAACAGUGUGCGAUGACAACUGGGACCUGAGCGAUGCUGCGGUUGUGUGCCAGCAGCUGGGCUGCGGGACAGCCAUGUCAGCCCCCGGAUCCGCUUAUUUUGGGCAAGGCUUUGGCCGUAUCUGGCUGGAUGAUGUGAAAUGCUCCAGCAGGGAAUCAGCGCUCUCCGAAUGUGCAGCAAGGCCUUGGGGAGUCCAUAACUGCAACCAUGAAGAAGAUGCAGGCGUCGUCUGCUCUGGUGGAAUCUAAACACUGCAGAUGCUCUGGAGUGGAGAAGAGAGAUGACAGUGCUGGCAAACGUGUAUGACAUUUUUUCAACGCAAACAGAAGACAUCUUUGAAGGACAGAGUGCACCCAGUACAGAAGCCAAUCACGACACUCAGAUCUAUCUCACUGAAUUGUAAGCACCAAGCAGAUGUGCCCAAAUCAGGAGCAUUGAUGGUCCCCUUCAGCUAAUAAAGAGAUAUGGGCAGUCACACAGAGCAACUUCAGGCCGAUUUCAGAAGUUUCUCUCACUCUACUGACUGUAAAUUAAGUUACUGCCUGCCACAAAUUAAAUUUCAAGACAUGUUCUCUCUGGGAUGGAGGGAAUAUUUGGAGGACACAAGUGGACACUUGCUCUGCAACAUUUCUUGUCAGAUGUCUCUGCCCAAAAGACCACACAGUUCCCAUGCCACUUCAUCCUCUCCUGAUGAUAUUGCCUCUAGUCUAUGAAAGCUUUCUUGUUCAGAUGGUACGGAUAUGUUAUAUAUUGAGGUUCUCUUGUGUAACCAGUGCCCUCCUGCAGAAGAGGUUUAGCUGUUGUCAUGAAUUCCUCAUGCAACCUUCCCUCUGAGCCUCUUGUCCCUCUGCAACAUUCCCUCCAAGCCUUAAGCCAUUUCUAUGCUGUUCUUCACCUUAAUCCCCCAAAAUGUUUCUGUAGAUAAAUGAAAUUUCUGUCUUGCUCCUGUGAGUCUGUCUGA